rnacentral:rRNA from 1 species
GACGAACGCUGGCGGCGUGCUUAACACAUGCAAGUCGAACGGGCCUUGUCCCCUUUUUUUUUGGGGGUGGGGUUAGUGGCGAACGGGUGAGUAACACGUGAGUAACCUGCCCCUCACUUCUGGAUAACCGCUUGAAAGGGUGGCUAAUACGGGGUGUUCUGGCCUGCUCGCAUGGGUGGGUUUGGAAAGAUUCGACCGGUUUUGGUUGUUUUGGUGGGGGAUGGGCUCGCGGGCUAUCAGCGUGUUGGUGGGGUGAUGGCCUGCCAAGGCUUUGACGGGUGGCCGGCCUGAGAGGGUGGGCGGUCACACUGGGACGGAGACACGGCCCAGACUCCUACGGGAGGCAGCAGUGGGGAAUAUUGCACAAUGGGCGCAAGCCUGAUGCAGCGACGCCGCGUGAGGGAUGGAGGCCUUAGGGUUGUGAACCUCUUUCGCCAGUGAAGAAGGUCCUGCUCUUUGUGGUGGGGUUGACGGUAGCUGGGUUAAUGAAGCGCCGGCUAACUACGUG